rnacentral:rRNA from 1 species
UGGAUCCUACGGGAGGCAGCAGUGGGGAAUAUUGGGCAAUGGGCGCAAGCCUGACCCAGCAACGCCGCGUGAAGGAAGAAGGCUUUCGGGUUGUAAACUUCUUUUAAGAGGGAAGAGCAGAAGACGGUACCUCUUGAAUAAGCCACGGCUAACUACGUGCCAGCAGCCGCGGUAAUACGUAGGUGGCAAGCGUUAUCCGGAUUUACUGGGUGUAAAGGGAGCGUAGACGGAAAGGCAAGUCAGAAGUGAAAGCCCAAGGCUCAACCAUGGGACUGCUUUUGACACUGUCAAACUAGAGUACGGGA